rnacentral:lncRNA from 1 species
AGCCCUAACAAAUUCCUGACUAAAAACUACAUUUUUGUAGGUUUACCCAUGUAUAUUAGUCCUAAAAACUAUGAUAUGACGUCUUGAAAGGCUAUUGUAUUUUUUUCUUUUAUGCCUUUCAUUGACGGAAGGGGUCAAAGCAAAAUUUAAAAUAGCCUUCCAAGAUGUCAUAAUUAUUUGGACUACUGUUUAUAUAAUUAGAUAUGACCUACAACAUUAUUUCCAUGUGAAUUUGGAUCCAGCACUUACCCAACCCUUCCCGUAUCAUAUUUUUACUUAUCAAAAAUGUAUAUCUGUCAUAAAAUGGUUUUUUUUUAUGAAAAUAAGAUUAACCUAAAGUAUACAUGCAUAUAACUGAUGAAAGAUACAUUGCUAUUUUUUCUAAACACAUCAGAAUUUCUUUUCAGGAUACAUUUGUAGUAAUGUAAUGUUUCAUUAUUAUAUAUUGUUAAUGUUAAUUAAGUGAAAAUGUCAAAAUAAUAGGAUCAAAAGCACAAACAGUAAAUAAAUAGCUGGUAAGAUUGUAUGGGAAAAUUGAUUUAGAGAUAAUUGAUUUGACCACACUAUUGGAAACAUUAACAAACAUCAAAAGAUUCUGACAUCUAAUUAGUUUCAGACACUUGUGAUAUAAACAGGCAAGUUGAAAACUUCACCUCCAUCUAAAUUUCACGAUUUUAUCAUGAAAUAUGUAAUAAAGCUUGAAAUAGUGACCAUGGUGACCAGCUCAUCCCUACCACUCAAUUUAUUCAACAACACUACCCUGCUAAAGUUUACUAAGGAAUGCAAUAAUCAUUCCAUAAAAUUUCUAGACCUUGAAAUCCUCAAAGACGAGCACAUGAAAAUACUGGUAAGAUAUGAAAUGCUAUUAAAAAAAAAAAUACAGAAAAAUUUCAACAUCUUCAUAAAAACCCAAAACCAACCCAUUUGGAACUUUAAAUCCUAUAUUAAAGGCAAAGGUAUUCAUUUACAUAGAAACACAAACCAGAAAGAAAACUCUUUAUUGAAAAACCAUUUUAUUAACUAAAAUUGGUAAAACAAAUUUUAUUAAAUUCCAUGACAGAAAAGAUAAAAUUAAGAAAAAGAAAAAAGUUUAAAAUAGAUGUUAUGUAUCAUUUACAUAUUAUCAUCCUCAAGCAGAAUAACUUCAAAAAGUAUUCAGGAAAUUCUGGCAUCUUAUUAAAACAGAUUCUUCAAUAAGUGCUACAUUGUGUAUCAUAUCCCAUUAAAACCUAUCCAUAGGAUUCAAAAGAAAUAGAACAUUGGUGAAUUAAUGAAAUGACCUAUAAACUAGUUUGUAUGAAGGUCACAAUUCCUUCAAAAUAUUUCACUGUGCAGAACUAAUUAAUGACCAUCAUCAUGUAAACCUCACAUGUAAACUGAAAUUCUUAUAAGACAAAAUUCUACCAGGAAACACUUAAUUCAAUAUUUAUUGAAAUAGGAUGAAAUAGUUAGAAAAUCAACAGAGUUCGUGAAAAGUGGUGGUCCUCUGGAUUUUACCACCAAAAUUUUGCAUAGGACUGACACAAUUUUAGUAUUUUUCAAUAGAAUUAAUAAUGAGGACCAGCAGAUUUUCUCCAAGGACCACCUGGGGAAAAAAGAUUUUGUGAACUCUACAAAAAAAAAACAAAAAAUCUAAAUUCAAAUUAACAAAUUUUACAAAAUUAUGAAAAAAUCAAUAAAUUAAAAGCAGUAAUAAAAAAAUGACAAACAGAAGGGGUGGUCUCUGCUGAAGGUUUCCCUUUAAUCACCAUAUUUACAGAAAAACUCUAAACAUUGCUACACAGUAUCAAUGAAAGGCCAGAACAAUGAUUUGUAGUUGCACUUUGCAACUUCAAAUCAUAGGUGGAUAUAACGGCCUUAUUUAUUUAAAAACAAAUAUGUAAAAGACAAUCACUGAAUUACAGGCUCCUGACUUGUGACGGGCACAUACUCAAUUCUAUUUAAAAACAUCUUUAAUUUCUUAUUCAUAUUCAUUCUACUUAUCUUUAGAUGUGUAUGCUUUCGUGUGAAAAUAAAACACUAACCACUAUUGCCUUGCAUUAGGACUAUUUUAAAAUUUUAGAAAAAAGGGGGGAUCUUCUGUAUGUAAAUUCAAAAGUCAAUAGAAAGUUUUCCACCGACUCUGAUAACAAUCUAUUUAUUUUUAUCAGUAUUUUGCAAUCCUUAGUAGAGUCAUAGUCCACAGCUGGUCAUUUCUGGUCAGUCUUCUACAAUAUUGUGGAAAUUAGACAAUAUCCUGCUGUGAAGACAAACAAGGUGUUUGAAUAAAUGAUGUAUCAAUUUUCUGUUAAUUGGUAAAUGUUCUGGCUAUUUAGUUGUGACCUAAAUUCUGGCAUUAGUUAAUAAUGUUAUAGGAC